rnacentral:rRNA from 1 species
UACGUAGGGGGCAAGCGUUAUCCGGAUUUACUGGGUGUAAAGGGAGCGUAGACGGUAUGGCAAGUCUGAUGUGAAAACCCGGGGCUCAACCCCGGGACUGCAUUGGAAACUGCCGGACUAGAGUGUCGGAGAGGCAAGUGGAAUUCCUAGUGUAGCGGUGAAAUGCGUAGAUAUUAGGAGGAACACCAGUGGCGAAGGCGGCUUGCUGGACGAUGACUGACGUUGAGGCUCGAAAGCGUGGGGAGCAAACAGG